UGAUCCGCCCGUCUUGGCCUCCCAAAGUGCUGGGAUUGCAGGUGUGAACCACCAUGCCUGGCCAAUACAAACGAUAUUUUCAUAGCUUUUGGGUUUAUACCAAAUGAAAAGGACUCUCUUGAUGAGUACCUUUAACUGCCUUUCCUGUGUUAAAUUUUUAACAACUUGUUCUGGAAGUCAGUGUACUUAUUUCAUGAAGGCAAAUUUGUCAGUAUUUUCACAAAACAAAACUAUUCAGCUGUAGUUAGAAAGUGAAGUAGCAAGAAUUUACAUUGUAAAGUUGUGCCAUGAAAUUGGACUUUGAAACUUUAAAAAUGAGAAAAAUUUUCACAUGUAUUUAUUCCAAAUACCAUUUAGGAAACCAGGAUCAGAGUGUUUCUGUUGGUGUUGGCAUUAACCAGCUGGAUGUAAAUUUGAAAACCCAGUCACUCAAUUAGAUUUCUGACAUCCCUUCCAUUUCUGACCUGUGGUUCUUGUUGCAGUUCUGCUUUGUUAUAAACCAUUGUUCUAAGGAGUUUGUUGAAAGCACAUAGUUCAUUUUAUAAAGAUUCCCUGCGUAUGUGAUGUCCUACAUGUGUGACUUUGUAUUAAAAGUAUAUAGGAUCAAUAUUUUAUUUUGAAAAAUUUAAAGAAAUACGGAGAAGUAUAAAAUAGAAGUAUCAACCACCCAGAAAUAACAUGUUAAUGUUUUGUUACAUGUGCCUCCUAUUUUUUUUGAAAUAAAAUGAAGUCAACUAGUAUUUGUUGUAAAUAAGUUAUAUAUACAUAAAUACAUGAUAUUUAAUCCUCACAAUCUUUUGACAUGUGACCAUUUCUUGUUUUAUAGACAAGGAACUAAUGAUAUGAUACACUAACAAGUGGCAAAACAAGGAAUUAGGAUCUUGGUCUCUUGGACUGUUAAGAUUUUUUUUUUUUUUUUUUUUUUAAAGACAGGGUUUCACCAUACUGGCCAGGCUGGUCUCAAACUCCUGACCUCAGGUGAUCCCACCUUGGCCUCCCAAGGUGCUAGGAUUACACUACACCCAGCCUGGACUAUUAGAUUCUAUACUUCCAUCCUCUGUUGACUUUGUUAAUCAAUGGACUGGCUAAUGUGAGAUAGAUCAUUAUGAUGUAAAUAAAGUAUCCUAUUUUAAUAUUGAGUGCAUUUUAAGUACUUAUAAAGGCUUCCUGGGAAAUAACUGUAAUUUGUAAAGACCUGAAUGGGUACAUGUGUGUAAAUAAAAAUCAGGGCAGAAAAGUGCUUUUAUCAUGGCUCCAGGGACCUUAGCUUCAGUUGGUGUUGAGAAUCCCUCACACAAGGACAUUCUCCUUGCUUCAGCAUCAGGAUGGAAGCGUUUCCCAUCUGGACUUUUUCAAAGACUCAGCUGGAGGAAUCAGACUUCAUAAUUUCCUGGCAGCUCAUGAUUCUGCUACACUACACCAUGCCAUCUCGUGUGAAAGGACAAAUUUGAUGGAGGACUGCGUCGUCCCUCUUGUUUCUUACUGUCUACAUUUAUUCUAAUGGGAAGGAGUGGGCAAAAACAAUAAUUUGGGUAGUUUUUAAAAAACAUUGUGUUCGUAAAUUAGAAUAGUGCCAUUUUGGCGUUAUGAGAAGCAUGGAUCCAUAACUAAGGUUUUGUGUGUGACUACAAUGAAAUGUGGAAAUGUGUCUCCGGAAGGUUUCCAGUUGCUACCACAAGACCUCCUUGGUAUUGCGUGCAUGUGUUGUCCUAUUUUUACUUUGUCCUUCUGCAGUUACUUGCUGUGGCACCUUGGAGAAAUUAGCCCCCCUUCAGUUUUUUGUAUAUGUAAAAUAUAUUUGUAAUAAUCUCAUA